UACAGAGGGUGCAAGCGUUAAUCGGAAUUACUGGGCGUAAAGCGUGUGUAGGCGGCUAGGUAAGUCGGAUGUGAAAGCCCCGGGCUCAACUCGGGAAGUGCACUCGAUACUGCUUAGCUCGAGUACCGGAGAGGUUGGUGGAAUUCUCGGUGUAGAGGUGAAAUUCGUAGAUAUCGAGAGGAACACCGGUGGCGAAGGCGGCCAUCUGGACGGAUACUGACGCUGAGACGCGAAAAGCGUGGGGGAGCAAACAGG
rnacentral:rRNA from 1 species